AUUCUUACUGCUCAAGAUUGGUUUCCUUUGCUUUAAGAAACCCUAUUCCAAGUUGGUCUUGAUCUCUUCUCUUCAACCGAACCCUAAUAUUUUAAUUUCCUUUGAUUUUCUCUUUUGUUUCAUUGUAUCUAAUCUGUUUCGAUUUCUUAGGUUCAAGUCCGUUUGAACAACUUUGUUUACCCUCAAGAACGCAUCCUUGGGUUUCAAGAAAGCAAUCUACAAAUCGGUUCUUGAGUUCUCUUUGCUGUCCAAAUCUCCCUUCACUUCUUUUCCUUUCUUUUUCCUUGUUUUAUAAUUUGUUUAAACUGAAUUUGUAUGUUG
rnacentral:lncRNA from 1 species